rnacentral:piRNA from 1 species
UGGUGGCGUGUGCCUGUGGUCCCGGCUGC